GGCCGUUCCGGUGGCCUAGUGGUUAGAGAACCCGCCUCGGACGCGGAAGGUAGCGGGUUCACACCCCGUCCGAGUCA